CGGGGUGCACCAGGCGCGAAAACUUUACAAUGCUGGCAACAGCGAUAAGGGGACCUCGAGUGCCAGGAUACAAUCUUGGCUGUCGCGAUGCCUAAAAAGCAUUGCAUAGCAAGGGCCGGGCAAGACCGGUGCCAGCCGCCGCGGUAACACCGGCGGCUCGAGUGGUAACCGCUAUUAUUGGGUCUAAAGGGUCUGUAGCCGGCCGGAUAAGUCUUUUGGGAAAUCCAGCUGCUCAACAGUUGGGCUUUCAGAAGAUACUGUUCGGCUCGAGACCGGGAGAGGUGAGAGGUACUUCAGGGGUAGGGGUGAAAUCUUGUAAUCCUUGAAGGACCACCAGUGGCGAAGGCGUCUCACCAGAACGGAUCUGACGGCAAGGGACGAAAGCUAGGGGCACGAACCGGAUUAGAUACCCGGGUAGUCCUAGCCGUAAACGAUACUCGCUAGGUGUCAGCCACGGUGCGACCGUGGUUGGUGCCGUAGGGAAGCCGUGAAGCGAGCCACCUGGGAAGUACGGCCGCAAGGCUGAAACUUAAAGGAAUUGGCGGGGGAGCACAAGGGCGAAUCGCG
rnacentral:rRNA from 1 species